ensembl:snRNA U6 U6 spliceosomal RNA
GUGCUUACUUCAGCAGCACAUAGACCAAAGGUGGAACGAUAGAGAGAUUAAUAUGGAGCCUGUGCAAGGAUGACAAAAAUUCAUGACAUGUACACUUUUUCC